rnacentral:rRNA from 1 species
GUCCACGCCGUAAACGAUGAUUACUCGAUGUUGGCGAUAUACAGUCAGCGUCUAAGCGAAAGCAUUAAGUAAUCCACCUGGGGAGUACGGCCGCAAGGUUGAAACUCAAAGGAAUUGACGGGGGCCCCGCACAAGCGGAGGAGCAUGUGGUUUAAUUCGAUGAUACGCGAGGAACCUUACCUGGGCUAGAACGCUGGAUGACCGUCCGGGAAACCGGAUUUCUCUUCGGAGCAGCCAGCGAGGUGCUGCAUGGUUGUCGU